AAUGAACGCUGGCGGCGCGCCUAAUACAUGCAAGUCGAGCGAGAAGACGUAGCAAUACGUUUGUAAAGCGGCGAACGGGUGAGGAAUACAUGGGUAACCUACCCUAGAGUGGGGAAUAACUAGCCGAAAGGUUAGCUAAUACCGCGUACGCUCCUUGGACUUCGGUUCAGGGAGGAAAGCGAUGCCGAGGGUAUCGCGCUCUUGGAUGGGGCUCAUGUCCUAUCAGCUGUUGGUGAGGUAACGGCUCACCAAGGCUUCGACGGGUAGCUGGUCUGAGAGGACGAUCAGCCACACUGGCACUGCGACACGGGGCCAGACUCCUACGGGAGGCAGCAGUAAGGAAUAUUGCGCAAUGGGCGAAAGCCUGACGCAGCGACGCCGCGGUGGGGGAU
rnacentral:rRNA from 1 species